UUUCAUUCAUCUCUCUUCGAUCUUUACUUUUUAUAUUUAACACGUUAUCAGCACUGUUGCUUUCCGUUGAGAAAAGGGCCACACGAGAAGGCCAGACUGUUGCCGAUUCCAUGAGACAAUAUCAUGUCCACGGCAAGAAUCCAUGGACAUGGAUACAUCUACGAUCAGGAGAUUGUUGAAUUUGCUUUUGUCUUCUUCGAAUCAAUCAAAUAUCUAAUAGUAAUACUAACUGGUUGUGUUUUGUGAAUCACAUCACCUGGCAUGUACGCAUGGCAAGAUUGAUUGAUCGAAUUGAUUAAUACCCAAACAUAACGAGAAAAUAGGAAUCGGCACGAACAUGGCACCUCCACCGCGUGGUUGCACGCGUCCCCUAUAGACAGCAACGCUUAGCCGGCGUGCGGGCAUCAACAUCCUUUGACGCGACUACAAGCUCAUGGAGAGCGGGUGCUCUUCGGCGAUGGACCACGACAACCUCUUGAGACGUAAACAGCGACGGCCUUCGGCGAGCGAUGCCUUCAGGUGUCGCGACGUGUAAAUCCUUCUUGAGGCGAAACACCACCAUUGUGCGCUACAUGCACUCCUGCGCAACGGGCUCUCCCAGCGGUGGCGAAAGCAUCCAACGGCGCGUGGCGGAUUCUACUGGCUACGGUUGGCGAGACGAUGAACCACGGCGGUAGCAUCACUCACUGGUCCUCAUGACCAGCGGUACACGAUCACGGACCUCGGCGAGGACGAUGCUCACCCAACGAGGACGACACUCAUGAGUGUCUCUUUAUGGCGCAUCAGACAACCGGCGUGUUACAUCGACAUCAGUAUCAACCUAGAACUAGAGAAGUCAAGCUAAUCCAAAUUAAGUGAUUCAUUUCCACGCGCAGGAAGAAAAGAGAUAAGGAAUCUUAACCUUUCACGGUUUUGCAGUUAUUAGUCCUCUG
rnacentral:lncRNA from 1 species